UGCAGUGUCACUCUUCACAUGCUGUCUUUUAAAUAAAUCCUCUGCAACUGGGUUAUAUUAUAUUAAAAAGUUAAAAUCAGCCUUGAGUGGACAAAGUAUCCAAAAUAGGUGAAGACAUUUGUGUCUGCUGCUUAGAGAUGCUCCAGUCAGAAUACGCAGCCCUCAGCUGACCUACCGCAUCAUCCCCUCCAGUUCCAUCCACGUCGAUGCAAAUGGUGGGUGUUCAUCCUUUCUGAUGGCAGCCAUUCUUUUUGACCUGAGUACUGCAAGCCUUGGUCUGCUUCAAGAUCUUCAGAGGACAGCUGUUCCCUGGAAGGCUCUCCCACAGGCCCGUGUCGUGAUCACACAUGCAGUUCCACAAUUCAGCCAGCAGGGAGAGGUCACCCGCUCGGUAGGCUCCAGGCCCAGCCUGGAGCCCAACGUGGGACUCAAGACCCUGAGAUCCAGACCUGAGCUGAGAUCAAGAGUCAGAUGCUUUACCGAUUGAGUCACCCAGGCACCCCUCUGCUGCUUUUAAAUACUUGUUUUAGAGUAAAGGAAUCCCAGAAUCUGGCUUGGGAGAGAUGUUACACGUCAUUUAGUCCAAACUCCCCAUUGAUGCCUGCAAAAGUCCUGUCAUGGGAUAUUUUCCCCCAUCUGUGUUUGUGCUUCUCUAGCGGUAUGAAACUCCUAAGGCAAUGUUUCCAUCACUGGGCUACUUUGAAAAUGAUAAAGUAUUUCCUUACACUAAGUUGCCAUCAGUCUCCCUGUCAGCCUCUGUAGCACGCAGAACAGAGCCGCCGUACAUGGGAGGGCGGUGCUCAUAUUCCCAUUUGGACUUGUCUACGAGAUCACUUGUUUACUGGAUUUUUCUCAGAUGAUAUAGUUUGAGGUCAGGUUUCCAUCCUGUUUCAUUUCUUCUGCACACGUUUGGGUUGACCUCUAUCCCUUAUAAUGAGGGAGAUCUAGGGCCUGAGACUGUGUCCUUGCUGGGAUCAGACCACGUGUCUGCCACCUUGUUGCUGCUGACUCAUGCUGAGAUUACCCCCACUCAUAUCCAGCCGUCUCUUUCCCCACAUUCCCGCCAUAAAACACAUCCUCUUCGUCCUACACUAGUUCAGUUUUUAACUGACUUGCCAGAAUUUAUCUGGAUUCGGUUUCUUUCCAUGGCCCAACAUUAUCAGGGUAUUUUGAAUUCUAGUUCCAACACAAACAAGCCCUACUUGAAAGAAAACCAUCUUGUUUCACAAAUUUUAUUCCUUUUGCAUGAUGUCACUUAUUUUCAUCAUACAAAUAAUGUUUUGUAGCACAGAUGGAAAAUUGAGUAUGCAUUGUUUUUAAAGUUGUGUGAAAUGUUGGACAAUCUCCACUUACUUCAGUGAGUGGACUGCACGUAGGGAUCUAAGAGACGCUAUUUUCUGGCAGUUCCACCUGCAGGACUUUGGUACCUUGCCCGCAGCAAAAUGGUGAGUGGAGAAGAACUUGUGAUCUCAAAAGACAUGUGAAUUUCUUACAAGCGUUGCCAAUGUCCCACUCCGCUAUGUGGUUUCUCUAACUUUUCGACUAUUUGGAACAAAGGUGGAAAUGGAGUAUUGUCAAUCAGUGACACAAAAUGGUAAAGUUCAUCUAGUAGCUGAAUUGUCACUUUAUAUCAAGAGCGAAAUCCUUAAAAGGUAAUCCGAGAGUAGAUAACAAACCUUACCUAUAACAGAGGUUUAACCAUUGACAGAUGAAGCCGUUAUGAAGGCCACAGGGCAACCAAGUGGUCAUGAACGUAGGUCCAAUUGAUUUUUCCAAAAUCUGUAAUAAAAAUUUGUAGUAACUUUAUUUUUUACUCUUGAAGGGACUGUAUCACAGAAAAAAAAACUCAUAUAAGGAGAUAUUUUUCUUUUCUGCAUGCUUUAUUAUUGUCAGCAACAUUUUAGAUAGACAAAUCUAAAAUAAAAGUGCAAAAAAUGGCACGAGGUUUCCAUUUUGUUAUGUAGACAUUGGUUCCAAUACUUUUUGAAAAUAUCAUAAAAUUGGAAAAUAUCUCAGGAGAAAAAUUCUCCUGAGAGAAAAAUCUCUGAGGAGAAAAAAUUAAAAGGAAAUUUGGUGGUGACUGUACUUUGAGUUAAGAUAAAGAUAAAAAUUACAGGUUGAAAGGACUAACAACCUAUAGUAACUUACAAAGUGAAGUAUUCUUGGUAAAAGUCACAAAAUU